CGGCGACCAUAGCUAAGGUGAAACGCCCGGUCCCAUUCCGAACCCGGAAGCUAAGGCCUUAUACGGCGAUGGUACUGCACUCGAUAGGGUGUGGGAGAGUAGCGAGUUGCCGCUUA
rnacentral:rRNA from 1 species